GUUCAUGAGAUUUGCAUGGAUGGUGCAACCCCGCAAUUACCUACUUCUUGCUUGUCAUGCAUCGAAUGAAACUGUACAGUUGUAUCAAUUCUCACGUUGGGCAAAGGCUCAAGGGUACUUGUCAGAGAAGAAAGACGAAGCUGCAUCUCAGUAGCUUGAAGCUAUAUUCCCCAUCCUUUUGUUUUUAUGUCAUGAUUUUCUACGGGUUGUAAUUGACUCAUUGAUAAUCGUUGUGUAUGUUAUUUGAAAAUAUAUCCAGGAAGCUACUUCAGUAACACCAAAAUGGAAUUGGGAAUUUUUCUCCCGAGAAGUAAUAA
rnacentral:misc_RNA from 1 species